AGUGCUGCUACGGGAGCUCCUGGGUCGGGCAAGUCCACCCUGGCCCGGGCCAUGCUGGAACAGAACCCACAUGGGGUGGUGUUGAGCACGGAUGAUUAUUUCUGUCGUCAUGGGGACUAUCGCUACGACCCCUCAGCUUUAGGGGAGGCCCACGAAUGGAACCACGCUAGAGCCCAGGAAGUGAUGGAGGCCUCUUUCUCUCCUGUUAUUAUUGACAACACCAACAUAUACUAUCCCCUAACCCCUA